rnacentral:rRNA from 1 species
UGAACUUAAGCAUAUCAAUAAGCGGAGGAAAAGAAACCAACAGGGAUUGCCCCAGUAACGGCGAGUGAAGCGGCAACAGCUCAAAUUUGAAAUCUGGCCCCCCCCGCGGGGGCCCGAGUUGUAAUUUGCAGAGGAUGCUUUUGGCGAGGCGCCUUCCGAGUUCCCUGGAACGGGACGCCACAGAGGGUGAGAGCCCCGUCUGGUUGGACGCCGAGCCUCUGUAAAGCUCCUUCGACGAGUCGAGUAGUUUGGGAAUGCUGCUCUAAAUGGGAGGUAUAUGUCUUCUAAAGCUAAAUACCCGCCAGAGACCGAUAGCGCACAAGUAGAGUGAUCGAAAGAUGAAAAGCACUUUGAAAAGAGGGUUAAACAGUACGUGAAAUUGUUGAAAGGGAAGCGCUUGCGACCAGACUUGGGCCCGGCGGAUCAUCCAGCGUUCUCGCUGGUGCACUCCGGCGGGCCCAGGCCAGCAUCAGCUCGCCCCGGGGGACAAAGGCGGCGGGAAUGUGGCUCCUCCGGGAGUGUUAUAGCCCGCCGCGCAAUGCCCUGGGGCGGGCUGAGGACCGCCGCGUUUACGCAUGGAUGCUGGCGUAAUGGUCGCCAGCGACCCGUCUUGAAACACGGACCAA